rnacentral:rRNA from 1 species
GGACUACCGGGGUUUCUAAUCCCGUUCGCUCCCCAUGCUGUCGCGUUUUAGCGUCAGGUGCGACCCAGCGUGUCGCCUUCGCCACUGGUGUUCCUCCGGAUCUCUACGCAUUUCACCACUACACCCGGAAUUCCACACGCCUCUAUCGCCCUCUAGUCCGACAGUCUCCGACGACCUAUUCCGGUUAAGCCCGAAUAUUUCACGCCGAACUUAUCAGACCGCCUGCACGCCCUUUACGCCCAGUAACUCCGGAUAACGUUCGUCUCCUACGUUUUACCGCGGCGGCUGGCAC